rnacentral:rRNA from 1 species
CGAAGGGGGCUAGCGUUGCUCGGAAUCACUGGGCGUAAAGGGUGCGUAGGCGGGUCUUUAAGUCAGGGGUGAAAUCCUGGAGCUCAACUCCAGAACUGCCUUUGAUACUGAAGAUCUUGAGUUCGGGAGAGGUGAGUGGAACUGCGAGUGUAGAGGUGAAAUUCGUAGAUAUUCGCAAGAACACCAGUGGCGAAGGCGGCUCACUGGCCCGAUACUGACGCUGAGGCACGAAAGCGUGGGGAGCAAACAGGAUUAGAUACCCUGGUAGACCACGCCGUAAACGAUGAAUGCCAGCCGUUAGUGGGUUUACUCACUAGUGGCGCAGCUAACGCUUUAAGCAUUCCGCCUGGGGAGUACGGUCGCAAGAUUA